rnacentral:piRNA from 1 species
AAACUCUGAGUGUGACCUUCCUAUUCUUGA